UACGUAGGGUGCGAGCGUUGUCCGGAAUUAUUGGGCGUAAAGGGCUCGUAGGCGGUUUGUCGCGUCGGGAGUGAAAACCUUGGGCUUAACUCAGGGCUUGCUUUCGAUACGGGCAGACUAGAGGUAUGCAGGGGAGAACGGAAUUCCUGGUGUAGCGGUGAAAUGCGUAGAUAUCUGGAGGAAUACCGGUGGCGAAGGCGGCAUCCUGGACCGAUAUUGACACUGAGGAGCGAAAGCCAGGGGAGCAAACGGG
rnacentral:rRNA from 1 species